UACGGAGGGUGCAAGCGUUAUCCGGAUUCACUGGGUUUAAAGGGUGCGUAGGUGGGCAGGUAAGUCAGUGGUGAAAUCUCCGAGCUUAACUCGGAAACUGCCAUUGAUACUAUCUGUCUUAAAUUAUCUGGAGGUGAGCGGAAUAUGUCAUGUAGCGGUGAAAUGCUUAGAUAUGACAUAGAACACCAAUUGCGAAGGCAGCUCACUACGGAUAUAUUGACACUGAGGCACGAAAGCGUGGGGAUCAAACAGG
rnacentral:rRNA from 1 species